rnacentral:lncRNA from 1 species
ACAGAGACAAUACCUAGUCACAGGUUGCGGCACGAGCGCCACAGGUACUUCGCGUUAUUAUCCAGCUCCAGCAAAAUAUAAGGAUAACCAAUUUGUUUUCUCUUGUGAAACAUCGUAAUAUACUGAGGUAGAAGAGAUAGACGCUACCUGGAUUUGCUGCAGACUCGUUCUCAUAGAUCCUGACAACCGAGCAAUCCUGAUCGGAAUUGCUACCUCCCUGCCAGUUUUUUGUCUUCUCGGCCGAUGCUAAGAUUUUGACUUUGUUACCUAGGCAACAAUGGGAUGCGCCAGCAGCCGAGGAGUGAGGACGUUCUAUCACCAAUCCUUUGAAGAGCAACCCACAGUGUCUUCCGUCUGUGAGAGGGGAGAGCCUGAGGGCUCUGCUAACGCCGACAAAUCCAGCAAAGAGAAUCAAUCGAAUGCCACCAAGAAGCCGAUACCGUACGUUCCCGUUGACGACGUCAACUUCUCCUGCCCCAACACAGACUUCAGCAUCUCCUACGUGUUUGCGCCAGAAGACAAGGCAGCUGUGUCCACCCAACAACGCGACUUAGUAAUGCAGGCGGAAGACAUUCUGUAAAUCUGGGGUUGUUGUUUUUUUCAGAUAAGGUAGCCGGCGGUCAUUGAUGCAUCGGUUCAUAAAACACGUGACAUCUACUGUUCCUGCUAAAACACGUGACACCUACUGUUCCUGCUAAAACACGUGACUCCUACUGUUCCUGCUAAAAAGCGUGACACCUACUGUUCCUGCUAAAACACGUGACGCCUACUGUUCCUGCUAAAACACGUGACAUCUACUGUUCCUGCUAAAACACGUGACAUCUACUGUUCCUGCUAAAAAGCGUGACACCUACUGUUCCUGCUGAAAAGCGUGCCACCUACUGGUCCUGCUAAAUCACGUGACAUCUACUGUUCCUGCUAAAACACGUGACACCUACUGUUCCUGCUAAAACACGUGACUCCUGCUGUUCCUGCUAAAAAGCGUGACACCUACUGUUCCUGCUAAAAAGCGUGACAUCUACUGUUCCUGCUAAAACACGUGACACCUACUGUUCCUGCUAAAAAGCGUUACACCUACUGUUCCUGCUAAAAAGCGUGACAUCUACUGUUCCUGCUAAAACACGUGACAUCUACUGUUCCUGCUAAAAAGCGUGACACCUACUGUUCCUGCUAAAAAGCGUGACACCUACUGUUCCUGCUAAAAAGCGUGACAUCUACUGUUCCUGCUAAAACACGUGACACCUACUGUUCCUGCUAAAACACGUGACACCUACUGUUCCUGCUACAACACGUGAGGCCUACUGUUCCUGCUAAAACACGUGACAUCUACUGUUCCUGCUAAAAAGCGUGACACCUACUGUUCCUGCUGAAAAGCGUGCCACCUACUGGUCCUGCUAAAUCACGUGACAUCUACUGUUCCUGCUAAAACACGUGACACCUACUGUUCCUGCUAAAACACGUGACUCCUGCUGUUCCUGCUAAAAAGCGUGACACCUACUGUUCCUGCUAAAAAGCGUGACACCUACUGUUCCUGCUAAAACACGUGACUCCUACUGUUCCUGCUAAAAAGCGUGACACCUACUGUUCCUGCUAAAACACGUGACGCCUACUGUUCCUGCUAAAAAGCGUGACAUCUACUGUUCCUGCUAAAACACGUGACACCUACUGUUCCUGCUAAAACACGUGACACCUACUGUUCCUGCUACAACACGUGAGGCCUACUGUUCCUGCUAAAACACGUGACAUCUACUGUUCCUGCUAAAAAGCGUGACACCUACUGUUCCUGCUGAAAAGCGUGCCACCUACUGGUCCUGCUAAAUCACGUGACAUCUACUGUUCCUGCUAAAACACGUGACACCUACUGUUCCUGCUAAAACACGUGACUCCUGCUGUUCCUGCUAAAAAGCGUGACACCUACUGUUCCUGCUAAAACACGUGACACCUACUGUUCCUGCUAAAACACGUGACUCCUGCUGUUCCUGCUAAAACACGUGACACCUACUGUUCCUGCUAAAACACGUGACACCUACUGUUCCUGCUAAAACACGUGACGCCUACUGUUCCUGCUAAAAAGCGUGACACCUACUGUUCCUGCUAAAACACGUGACGCCUACUGUUCCUGCUAAAAAGCGUGACACCUACUGUUCCUGCUUAAACACGUGACACCUUCUCGUCCUGCUCACCACGUGACACCUACUGUUUCUGCUGACCACCUGACACGUUCUCUUCCUGCUAAAACACGUGACACAUAAACUGACCCUGUGUACAAACUUUACCUUAAUCAAAACAAUCCUUAUACGUCAUUGAAUCUGCUUCUCACAUCGCUGAACAAGAGCAAUUCGCAGAACUCGAUGUUGUUUGUCGGAGCCAUUUACUUACAAAAUAACCCAGAGUAGCGAGGAUGGAAUUAUAUCGAUUUGUCACAUAAUAUCCUCUUCGACCAACGUGACACAACGAACCUGAUCUUGUUUGCGGGCAGGACUUGAUCUGUACGCGGACUAUUGCUUAAAUGCAUUACAUUACAUGAGCAAUUUGUUUUUACUUCGUCUUGUGGAGGAAAAUUGCACAAUCUACUUUAACAGUGAUUGAUAACAAUUACUUUAUCGGUAGUACUUGUGGCCCAGUCGUUUAAGAGUUGCGUCCCUUGGGCGCUCCAGGAUCCUAUGAUUGUGAGCUCGAAUCUCGGUUCGCCCCGAUUACGUUUGUACCAUA